GUGCCAGCAGCCGCGGUAAUACGUAGGUGGCAAGCGUUGUCCGGGAAUUAUUGGGCGUAAAGCGCGCGCAGGUGGUUCCUUAAGUCUGAUGUGAAAGCCCCCGGCUCAACCGGGGAGGGUCAUUGGAAACUGGGGAACUUGAGUGCAGAAGAGGAUAGUGGAAUUCCAAGUGUAGCGGUGAAAUGCGUAGAGAUUUGGAGGAACACCAGUGGCGAAGGCGACUGUCUGGUCUGUAACUGACACUGAGGCGCGAAAGCGUGGGGAGCAAACAGGAUUAGAUACCCUGGUAGUCC
rnacentral:rRNA from 1 species